rnacentral:ncRNA from 1 species
UUAAACAUAGUGAAGAGAAGAGUAGGUUUAAGGAUCUUUUAAAGAGAGCUUCGGGAGCUGAGAAGAAGCAAGGAAAAUUAAACUGAACAUGGCCUCGGAAUGGUGCACCGACGAUCCUAGGAUUUAGGCUGCAACAGGUUUCGCCUGUUAUAGCGAAAGAGUAUAACUCCAAAUGACUUUUAAAGCGAAGAGAAAUGAAAACCUUAAGAGUAGAGUGGAAGUACUUAACGAGACUUAUAUUGUAAGGUAUAAGUGAAGUAGAGUGGUAACGCGUGUGAUGACCUCGCCUCUAUA